AAAUAACUUCUUCCCUGUGUGAAGGUAACACGCCUAUGUUGGUAAUGUUUUCAAAUAAAAAAUUAUCUCAGAACAAUACAAUUUCCUAAAUUAGUUUACAUGUAUGGUAUCAAGAUGCUAUAUCAGUUCAGCAACUUAAGCUUGAAGAUGUUUCGCUAGAAUCUUACAGCUAUCUAUACAAAAUUUAAUUCAAUAUAAGCAUGUUGUAUGAGCUUGAAAAGCAGACCACAAUAGAUUAAUAGCCAAAGGAAGGACCGAAUGAUACAUAAUUAAUCAGACUCUAAUCUAAUCGCCUCGAGGUCGGAAACAGGGGCACCCAGCUCUGGUUGGCCCAUGGUAGCCACUCCAUGGCAGAUCCAGACGCCGAGCGGUAUCAACCAUGGCCUGAAUUAGAAGAAAAUCCAUUCACUACGCCUACCAAAGGAAGGCCAUCUUCACUCCUGAGUUGCAAAAAUAACUGUCAAUAACUCACAGCAAACACAAUAUUCAAGUUCUUGAGUAUACUGGAUCAGUGAGAAAACAAAGAGUCAUUGGUCAACAUGUGAUCCUGCUAAAUACGAACUGAAACACUUGAAGAUCGUAGUGAAACAUCACAAUAUAUAUUACGUCCCUGCAAAUCUGUAAAAAAUGUAGUUAGCGGCCGGUGGUACUAUGUACUGUGUGAACUAAUAAAUAAUCACUAUACUGGAAAAAUUAAUAUAACCAACUUGAAAAAACAACUAUAUCAUUCUAACCAACUUUGUUUGAACACAACCAGACUCCAGACAACAAAUAAGAAUCAUUUCAAAUUACAAAUAGAAAAUAUGAGAAGGACUGUUGGAGGUACAAAUAAGAAUAAUUUCAUAUUACAAAUAGAACAUACCUUUGCAUCAGUAAAUUUCGAUUAGCAUUACAUUCAGACAUCCAAUAGAUCCAAAAUGCACACAUAAUUAUAAUGGUAGACCACAGGGUAUCCGUUGCAAGGUUAUUUAGUGUUUCAUGGCCUGUGAAAGUGAAGAGUAGUGUAAUGUCACACUAUUGGUACAGAAAAACUGCUGCAACCACGAAAAGAAAAACUGGAAUUUUUGUUUAUACACAGUAUAGUGCCUGGCCAUCAAUACUUUUGCAUUAAAUGUCAGAAAAUCGUAUAAACACAUAUAUCAGGAAGUUAUUCUAAUAGUCUAGUAACAUAUAAUAUAAUAACUAAUAUAUUAACAACACUAUUGCUUGAAGGGUCCAAUUAGAAGCUCCUAGUUAUUUUAGUUUGGCAAGCAAUCUGUGUGUGCUACAAUCUUCAAGCAGGAUGGCCGUGCAAAUUUGUGUUCAAUCUUGGCUGAUAUAGGAAGAAGGCGCACAUCAUCAAAUCCGGCGAAUACCGAAAGAAGGAUAAACUCUCAGCCUUUCACAAUGAGCAUGUUGAGCCAAUCAAGAAGGCAAAAGGAAAUGAAGAAAACAAUUGCAGACGGAUUCGACGGAAGGCGUGCAGUGGAAUACUCGCUGGGGAAAUCGUUGGUUGGCAUGGACCAGAUGCACCUCCAGAAGACCGCUCCCCAUUGUGUUCUUCUCCCGGCGCUGCACCUCCCUCUCCAUUGUCCUCUCUUUGUCCCUCCUAUCCUACAUUCUCUCUCUCCCUCAUCUUCUCUCUCGAGAAGAGGAGGGACGAGGGAUUGGGAUUUUCACCGCGCAUAGCACGAUCCACCCUUUUUUUCACCCAAACUCAUUCAGCAACGCACACUGCAACUCGGUCCCACCCAGAUGGCUGGCCCAGGCAUCAUCCACCCAACUGGAAAGGCACGACGUGAAGCAAAACAGACGGUCGGAUGUUUGACAGCCAGUUAAGAAGGACCAAAAUCUUUACACAGUGGCAAAACGUGCGAUCCAGAUCGUUGCGCGCGAGGGAUGGCACUGGAAUGGCGGGUACUCUAGCAGCGUUUAUAUGUUCGAUUACUGGAAUCUGAAAAGUUGGGCUCACGUAUUGUUUACCUUCGACCUUCGGAGGUCUAAACUGAAGAGUAGGGAGACAUGGAAGCCUAAGUAGCGGUCUUUCUUUUGCUGCUAACCUCCCUCUCAGUUUAGGUGCCCCCGGCUAAAUUGUCUUUAUGCUCAUGCUGCAAUUUACUUUGCCUUCAAACAAUAAAAUCUACAUGUGGAAACUGUGGAGAAUACAUAUGAACAUAAAAUAGUUGCUGACUAUUUUUCUCUUAAUAACUAAGUUAAUAUACAAAAGUUUUGGUUCAUAUACCUUGCAAUUUUAACAUGAGUAUCCAGAUCCAAUGGCUAACCUAUGAACAAGGGCCAGCCUGCACUUUCCCCCUAUCACAGGCCUCCUUCCUCUCCCCUGCUGCUGCACCUUGCAGCAGCAAC
rnacentral:lncRNA from 1 species